UACGUAGGCAGCGAGCGUUGUUCGGAAUUACUGGGCGUAAAGAGUGUGUAGGCGGUGCUCCAAGUUCGGUGUGAAAUCUCCUGGCUCAACUGGGAGGGUGCGCCGGAAACUGGAGUGCUUGAGCGUGGGAGAGGAAAGCGGAUUCCUGGUGUAGCGGUGAAAUGCGUAGAUAUCUGGAGGAACACCGGUGGCGAAGGCGGCAUCCUGGACCGGCAUUGACGCUGAGGCGCGAAAGCCAGGGGAGCA
rnacentral:rRNA from 1 species